rnacentral:rRNA from 1 species
AUUGAACGCUGGCGGCAGGCCUAACACAUGCAAGUCGAACGAGUGGCGGACGGGUGAGUAAUGUCUGGGAAACUGCCUGAUGGAGGGGGCUAUCUCCUGGACACGCUAGCUAAUACCGCAUACCAUCAGAUGUGCCCAGUUGGGAUUAGCCUGUUGGUGGGGUAACGUCUCACCAAGGCGACGAUCCCUAGCUGGUCUGAGAGAAUGACCAGCAACACGGGAACUGAGACACGGUCCAAACGCCUACGGGAGGCAGCAGUGGGGAAUAUUGCACAAUGGGCACAAGCCUGAUGCAGCCAUGCCGCGUGUAUGAAGAAGGCCUUCGGGUUGUAAAGUACUUUCAGCGGGGAGGCGUUACCCGCAGAAGAAGCACCGGCUAACUCCGUGCCAGCAGCCGCGGUAAUUC